rnacentral:rRNA from 1 species
UACGUAGGUGGCGAGCGUUGUCCGGAUUUACUGGGCGUAAAGCGCGCGCAGGCGGUUCGUUAAGUCCGGUGUGAAAGCUCCCGGCUCAACUGGGAGAGGUCAUUGGAUACUGGCGGACUUGAGGGAUGCAGAGGAAGGUGGAAUUCCCGGUGUAGUGGUGAAAUGCGUAGAUAUCAGGAGGAACACCGGUGGCGAAGGCGGAUCUCUGGGCCAUUACUGACGCUGAGGAGCGAAAGCGUGGGGAGCAAACAGG